rnacentral:rRNA from 1 species
UACGUAGGUGGCAAGCGUUGUCCGGAAUUACUGGGUGUAAAGGGAGCGCAGGCGGGAAGCCAAGUCAGCUGUGAAACCUACGGGCUUAACUUGUAGACUGCAGUUGAAACUGGUUUUCUUGAGUGAAGUAGAGGUUGGCGGAAUUCCGAGUGUAGCGGUGAAAUGCGUAGAUAUUCGGAGGAACACCGGUGGCGAAGGCGGCCAACUGGGCUUUAACUGACGCUGAGGCUCGAAAGCGUGGGGAGCAAACAGG